AGGCGUGGGUUCGGAUCCC
rnacentral:piRNA from 1 species